GGCACCCUGCUCAGGACCCUCUUGUUUAUAUUAUGGCCCUGAUGUCCACCGCUUUUUUACCUCCAAAGCGAACACGCCUUUGUAGGACUCAUAUGUUGUUGAGAGGGUGUACAGUUGGGUCUCCUUCAAGGAUUUAUUUUGUGAGGAUUUUUCCAUUAAUAAUAGGUUUGUAUCUUAAUAAUGCCUGUACAGCACAUAAAAAGCAUAAAAU
rnacentral:lncRNA from 1 species